rnacentral:rRNA from 1 species
AGAGUUUGAUCCUGGCUCAGGAUGAACGCUGGCUGUGUGCCUAAUACAUGCAUGUCGAGCGGAAGUAGCAAUACUUUAGCGGCGAAUGGGUGAGUAACACGUGCUUAAUCUACCUCUUAGAUUGGAAUACCUAAUGGAAACAUUGGUUAAUGCCGGAUACGCAUGGAGUCGCAUGACUCCGUUGUGAAAGGGGCCUUUAAAGCUCCACUAAGAGAUGAGGGUGCGGAACAUUAGCUAGUUGGUGAGGUAACGGCCCACCAAGGCUAUGAUGUUUAGCCGGGUCGAGAGACUGAACGGCCACAUUGGGACUGAGAUACGGCCCAAACUCCUACGGGAGGCAGCAGUAGGGAAUAUUCCACAAUGAGCGAAAGCUUGAUGGAGCGACACAGCGUGCACGAUGAAGGUCUUAUGGAUUGUAAAGUGCUGUUGCAAGGGAAGAAAAAGUAGUUGAGGAAAUGCUUCUACAUUGACGGUACCUUGUUAGAAAGCGAUGGCUAACUAUGUGCCAGCAGCCGCGGUAAUACAUAGGUCGCAAGCGUUAUCCGGAAUUAUUGGGCGUAAAGCGUUCGUAGGCUGUUUAUUAAGUCUGGAGUCAAAUCCCAGGGCUCAACCCUGGCUCGCUUUGGAUACUGGUAAACUAGAGUUGGAUAGAGGUAAGCGGAAUUCCAUGUGAAGCGGUGAAAUGCGUAGAUAUAUGGAAGAACACCAAAGGCGAAGGCAGCUUACUGGGUUUAUACUGACGCUGAGGAACGAAAGCGUGGGGAGCAAACAGGAUUAGAUACCCUGGUAGUCCACGCC